rnacentral:rRNA from 1 species
UAGGGAAUCUUCGGCAAUGGGGGGAACCCUGACCGAGCAACGCCGCGUGAGUGAAGAAGGUUUUCGGAUCGUAAAGCUCUGUUGUAAGAGAAGAACGGGUGUGAGAGUGGAAAGUUCACACUGUGACGGUAUCUUACCAGAAAGGGACGGCUAACUACGUGCCAGCAGCCGCGGUAAUACGUAGGUCCCGAGCGUUGUCCGGAUUUAUUGGGCGUAAAGCGAGCGCAGUCGGUUAGAUAAGUCUGAAGUUAAAGGCUGUGGCUUAACCAUAGUAUGCUUUGGAAACUGUUUAACUUGAGUGCAGAAGGGGAGAGUGGAAUUCCAUGUGUAGCGGUGAAAUGCGUAGAUAUAUGGAGGAACACCGGUGGCGAAAGCGGCUCUCUGGUCUGUAACUGACGCUGAGGCUCGAAAGCGUGGGGAGCAAACA